CCAUGGCUAGACAUUGCUAUGAACCAAUACAAGUCUCUCUGGACUAAAUACGUCGACAACGAAAUGGAGUUUGUGCAGAUGUGCAAUUUUGGUCUUUAAAGAAAGAUAUCGAUGAAGAGGUAACCUCAAAUCGAUAUAUGUUCAGUCAUUCAGGGCAUUCUUUAGCUUAUAUACGUUUAUCUUUUAUAUAUUAUAUAGGGUUACAAAAGUGUUUUGCUUUGUUCUUUCUGUCAUAGUUUUGUUCUUUAUUUAUAUUUUGUGUAACUCUUUCACAUCAAAAGCUUUAUCCAAAACUACAAUGUGUUAAGGUUUGUUUCAUGCAAAGUUUUGACUUAUGAUUGAAACAUUAAAGAGAAAUGGAUUAGGAAGAUAAUGAAUUUUUAUCAUAUGUUGAUUUAGUUUCAUUUUAUUACUAAAAUCAUGAUGAGCUAACUACUUUACAAAACACAAUAAGAUUUUAUCAUAUGUUUGUAUAUCUACAAAAAUAGUUAGAAAUUCAACAAAGUUGUUAUGACCGUUUCUCACCGCAAGACAGAAACUCAAAGAUCCUGUCUCGAGUCAAUGUACGUCCAAACUGCACAAACCCAUCGCACCUUCCGGUCUCUCUGUCUAGGUCAACGAGCGUUGACUUCAAUUUCUCCAGUUCCUCCUCCAUCCCUCCCAUAGCAAAUGCCACAGACGACCGUUUAUUCACGGCGAUGUCCACCGUUAGUCUAAUGGAUCUCUCCACCGCCUCCAACAUACUCACAAGUCUGCUCAUCUUCUCAACCUCCUUGAGAGCCACCAUCGUUUCCCUCUCCAUCGACGUCACUGCUGUCUUUUCCCGUUUCAGAGUUUCCGACGACUCUCUCCACCUCGAAGCAGCAAAGUUAGUCACUGCUUCAACCGGUACAGGUACAAAGAUACCCGCCACGAUUUUUCCCACGGCCACUAGAGCGAUCAUCGCCGCCGCAACCUUGAUCCUUGGAUGCUGUCUUUAUGGAGUACAUUAUAUCAGAUCAAUCCAAAAUACUUUCCUAAAGGUCCAGAUGUGAUGAUUCCUCAAGAUGAAUUAACUGAUCAGCCCAAAUAUAGGAUCUUAUAUCAUAAGCAGGAGACACUGGAGCCUGAAUUGAUGGCAGAGUCAGGUACACCAAGUUUUUAUUCCUAUCAUGUUUUUAAGGAGGGGAUUCAUGGUGUGGAUACUUUGCUCCAUCAUGUUAGCUUAGGACUAUGUUAUGCUACUUAACAGUGAACUUUCUGUCUAGUUAAUAAUGGUAAUUGCUAGAAAAAUGUCAAUGUAGAGAAAUGACUUUUAAUGUUCUGGUUCAGUUGGCUCGUGAACUCUUGCAUAAUAUGCCUCUUAUUGUUUUAGCAGACAUCAUAGAAAGAGCCCGUGGAAUGUCACCCGGAAAAUUAUCCAAGGACAAAACUAAACCAGACUGCUUUCUCAAGAUGGUACUAUGCACAUCCAUUAUAUUUUUUUUUUGAUUUUAUGUUAUAUAUGCUAUGCAACCUUGCUGGUUAUGCUAUUUUUUUAUGCUGUGUUACCUUGAAUACGGAUUUGAUGGUCCUUCUUGGUCAAAAUAUGUUUUCUUAAAAUAUCUUAUUUCUGGUAAGCCUGGAUGAUAUGAGUUUUAUUCCCUUGGCUUGCAUUUAAAUAUUUCAAUCAUGCAGAUUAAAAAUGAAGUCUUGACGAAAGCUGGAAGUACAAAGGAUGUCCGCCACUUCGAGUUCCAAUUUGUUUCUUCUGUAAGUAACUUUGCUAUCACUUACUAACUAGUUUCAAUCAAUUUCUCCUCUUUUAUGAAGUGGUUGUUCAAUUAAUUUCUCCUCUUUGUUUUUUUUUUAAUUCAUUUAAGAGUAUCAAAUAUGAAGUGGGCGAUGUUGUUGAGCUUCUUCCAAGCCAAGAUUCUUCAGCAAUAGAUGCGUUUAUAAAACGCUGUCAUUUGGACCCGGAAUCAUUCAUCACAGUAAGUAGCUCCACUCUGUUGACAUGAUGAUCCCAGAUUGUCUAACUGAAGUAAAUUUUGAUAACUAAUUUACUUUCAGGUUUGUCCGAGAGAGACAGUGAAUAAUGGUUCAUGUGGAGAAGUAAUUACACACCAUGUCCCUAUCAAGCUUAAGACUUUUGUUGAAUUAACAAUGGACGUUACAUCUGCUUCACCUCGACGAUACUUCUUCGAGGUAAGAGUCCUAAUGAUCUUGAAUAUCAGAUUUUUAUAAUGUAAUUUUAAGUAUUUGAUGGAAGUCGUUACAAUGUAUCUUCUCGGUGUCAGGUUAUGAGCUUCUAUGCAACAGCUGAACUUGAGAAGGAAAGACUGCAAUACUUUGCCUCAGCCGAGGGACGUGAUGACCUCUACAAUUACAAUCAGAAGGAAAGAAAAAGCGUCCUUGAGGUAACCAAUUGGGGACACCAUGAUUCGUCUUGAACCAAAUAGAUCUUAUUGCUACUGCCUAUGUAGGUGCUAGAGGAUUUCUCUUCCGUGCAAAUGCCUUUUGAGUGGCUAGUACAGUUAGUACCAUCGCUAAAACCACGAGCUUUUUCGAUAUCUUCAUCUCCUUUGGCCCACCCUGGUCAAGUACAUUUGACAGUAAGCGUGGUAUCAUGGAUCACCCCUUCAUACCCUUAUAAGAGAACUCGAAAAGGUCUAUGCUCCUCUUGGCUCGCAAGCCUCACACCUGAGCAAGGUUAGCACUGUGUUUCUAUGUAUUAUUUUAACUGACUCAGGUCUUUGUUUCUACGUAUUUAUCUUACAUUUUGUGUUCCGUUGUGUUUAGAGAUAAACAUACCGAUUUGGUUUCACAAAGGCUCUCUUCCUGCUCCACCACAGUCGCUUCCACUCAUCUUAGUGGGACCUGGAACCGGAUGUGCCCCUUUCCGCGGGUUCAUAGCUGAGAGAGCCGUGCAAGCUCAGACCAGCCCGAUCGCACCAGUCAUGUUCUUCUUUGGUUGCAGGAACAAAGACACUGACUUUUUAUACAAAGACUUCUGGGAGUCUCAUGCAAGAGAAGGAGGCAUGCUCUCUGAAGUAAAAGGCGGAGGGUUUUACACAGCAUUCUCUAGAGACCAACCGAAGAAGGUUUACGUGCAACACAGGAUACUAGAGAUGAGGAAGAAAGUUUGGGAUUUGCUAUGUGAUGGAGCCGCCGUUUACGUGGCGGGCUCGUCCACGAAAAUGCCUUGUGAUGUGAUGUCGGCCUUGGAGGAGAUUGUGAUGGAGGAGACCGGAGGAUCAAAGGAAAUGGCUUCACGGUGGCUCAAGGCUUUGGAGAAAGCUGGGAGAUACAAUGUUGAAGCUUGGUCUUAAACCCAACUUCCUCCAUAUCAUGUAAUGUUUGAUUACUAGCUAUACGAAUCAUUGGAUUAUUUAUUUAUUUAAAUUGAUUUUAUAAUAUUCACAUUGAACGGUUCAAAUGAAGAUGAUUUGUUUGAUUGUAUACAUUUGAACUUUAUUUAUAAUUUAAUUUUAAUUUUUUUUAUAUAACGAGGUUCUUACCUUUUUCAUUUUAACUAGAGUUUGUUGAAUAAAUCAUUCACCUCACUGAAUAAUACAAGAUUUCAGUGUUUAUAUAAAAAUCAUCAAUUAAAUAACAUCAGAUUUUAAACAGAACUGAAAAUCAACGUACAAUGUCAAUUACUCAAUUUUUUUAUUUAUUAAUUUAUUGUAUAAUAACACUUUAGUUAUUUUUCAAAUGUUUUCGAUCGGCAAAUUUAAUAGAAUAUAUUUAUUCUUCAAUUAAUCAUUGAGUGGCAAAAUUAAAAAUGAAAUAAUCAAUUGUUAUAAAAUGGACAGAAACUAUUAUUUUUCUAAAUUUGUUUAUUUUUUUAAAAAAAAUUGUGCAGUCAAAGUGUUAGUUGAUAAUAAUUCUACACAAACAAUACUUUCAAGUAUUAAAGCUGCUGGUUUCAAAUACUUUGGUAAUAAAAUGUUAAUGUCCUAAAGUAUAUAGGUGAGACUGGGGUUUUAAUAAUAUUGAGAGUUUAUAUCUACACUAUAAAUUAGUAAUUGUUUAUUAAACCAAUGAUUAAUGACAUUAACGUGUCUUCUUCACUAAAAUGUCUUGAGAUCUCUAUCCAUCCCAUCACUCUCCAGAGGCUAAUUCACACUCUAUCGGGCAAGCAAGAACCUCAUCCCCAUCUGAACUUUUUUUUUUUUAAACUGACUUAUAAAAGGUAAAGCUAAAUGGCGGUGGCCUUCCAUGGAGGCCGGAACGGCGUCGGAUCGGGACUCCGCAGUUUCUUCUCGUACCGGAUCUUCAUCUCCGCCUUGUUCUCUUUCCUCUUCCUCGCCACCUUCUCCGUUGUCCUCAACUCCUCUCGUCACCAACCUCAUCUCGAUCACGUAAGCUUCCGAUUCGUUUCACAAUCCGAAUCAAAAUUUAGAAAUGAAUUUAGAAUCUGAGCUUCGAUUUUUGGUGUUUAGACAUUGCCGAGGACGUUUCAAUCGGAUCCGUUGAAAGCUAGGUUAGAUCUGAUCCACAAGCAAGCCACCGAUCACCUCACGCUUGUGAACGCUUACGCUGCUUACGCUAGGAAGCUCAAGCUCGACGCGUCGAAGCAGCUGAAGCUCUUCGAAGAUCUGGCGGUUAACUUCUCCGAUCUGCAGGCCAAACCUGGACUGAAGCUCGAAAACGGGAACGCGAUCGAGGAGGAUGCGUUUCGGCAGAUCGAGAAAGAGGUUAAAGAUAAGGUGAAGACCGCGAGGAUGAUGAUCGUUGAGUCCAAAGAGAGUUACGAUACACAGCUCAAGAUCCAGAAGCUCAAGGAUACGAUCUUCGCUGUUCAAGAACAGUUGACGAAAGCUAAGAAAAACGGCGCCGUUGCGAGCUUGAUCUCGGCUAAGUCGGUUCCCAAGAGUCUUAACUGUUUGGCUAUGAGGCUUGUUGGUGAGAGGAUCUCUAACCCUGAGAAGUAUAAGGAUGCUCCGUUUGAUUCGGCUGUGUUGGAGGAUCCGAGUCUUUAUCACUACGCGGUUUUCUCUGAUAAUGUGAUUGCUGUUUCCGUUGUGGUGAGGUCGGUUGUGGUGAACGCUGAGGAGCCGUGGAAGCAUGUGUUUCAUGUGGUGACUGAUAGGAUGAAUCUCGCCGCUAUGAAGGUUUGGUUUAAGAUGCGUCCUUUGGACCGUGGUGCUCGUGUUGAGAUUAAGUCGGUUGAGGAGUUUAAGUUCUUGAACUCUUCGUAUGCGCCGGUCUUGAGGCAGUUAGAGUCUGCUAAGUUGCAGAAGUUUUACUUUGAGAAUCAGGCGGAGAACGCGACUAGAGAUGAACAUAACAUCAAGUUCAAGAACCCGAAGUAUCUCUCGGUGUUGAACCAUUUGAGAUUCUACUUACCGGAGAUGUAUCCGAAGCUGAAUAAGAUCUUGUUCUUGGACGAUGAUGUUGUGGUGCAGAAGGACGUGACUGGGUUGUGGAAGAUUAAUUUAGAUGGGAAGGUGAAUGGAGCUGUUGAGACUUGCUUUGGCUCUUUUCAUCGAUAUGGUCAAUAUCUAAACUUCACUCAUCCUCUGAUUAAAGAGAGCUUUAACCCCAAUGCUUGUGCUUGGGCCUUUGGGAUGAAUAUAUUUGAUCUCAAUGCUUGGAGGCGUGAGAAAUGCACUGAUCAAUACCAUUACUGGCAGAACUUGGUAAGUCCAUAUCUUUUCUUUGUAACUUAUGCAUAUCAAAUAAUCUCUUUAUCUUGUGUUGAUUGUGUGUUAAUCUCUCUUGAGCAGAAUGAAGACAGAAGUCUCUGGAAAUUAGGCACUCUGCCUCCUGGACUGAUGACAUUCUAUUCAAAGACGAAAUCACUGGACAAGUCAUGGCAUGUGCUUGGGUUAGGCUACAACCCAGGAGUGAGCAUGGACGAGAUUAAAAAAGCAGCAGUGAUUCAUUACAAUGGGAACAUGAAACCAUGGCUAGACAUUGCUAUGAACCAAUACAAGUCUCUCUGGACUAAAUACGUCGACAACGAAAUGGAGUUUGUGCAGAUGUGCAAUUUUGGUCUUUAAAGAAAGAUAUCGAUGAAGAGGUAACCUCAAAUCGAUAUGUGUUCAGUCAUUCAGGGCAUUCUUUAGCUGAUAUACGUUUAUCUUUUAUAUUAUAUAGGGUUACAAAAGUGUUUUGCUUUGUUCUUUCUGUCAUAGUUAUGUUCUUUAUUU
rnacentral:lncRNA from 1 species